UGCAAGUCGUACGAGAGUUUUUAACUCAAGUGGCGGACGGGUGAGUAACACGUGAGUAUUUACCUUUAGGAGGGGGACAACAAUUGGAAACGAUUGCUAAUACCCCAUAUGCUUUAGAGUGAAAUGGAUUUAUCCGCCUAAAGAAAAGCUCGCGGCUGAUUAGCUAGUUGGUAAGGUAAUGGCUUACCAAGGCGACGAUCAGUAUCUGGUUUGAGAGGACGAUCAGACACACUGGAACUGAGACACGGUCCAGACUCCUACGGGAGGCAGCAGUGGGGAAUUUUCCGCAAUGGGCGAAAGCCUGACGGAGCAAUACCGCGUGAGGGAAGACUGCCUAUGGGUUGUAAACCUCUUUUUUCAGGGAGGAAUAAAUGACGUGUACCUGAAGAAUAAGCAUCGGCUAACUCCGUGCCAGCAGCCGCGGUAAGACGGAGGAUGCAAGUGUUAUCCGGAAUCACUGGGCGUAAAGCGUCUGUAGGUGGUUAGGUAAGUCAACUGUUAAAUCUUGAGGCUCAACCUCAAAAUCGCAGUCGAAACUAUCUGACUAGAGUAUAGUAGAGGUAAAGGGAAUUUCCAGUGGAGCGGUGAAAUGCGUAGAUAUUGGAAAGAACACCGAUGGCGAAGGCACUUUACUGGGCUAUUACUGACACUCA
rnacentral:rRNA from 1 species